UGACGGUAAGACCCUGAGCACCUUUCCUUCUUUCACCACCGGUUACAAGCGCUAGCCGCGGUGGUGAGAAUAGGUGCUCGAGGUCUCUCCGCCGGCGGCCGUCAACCGCACACCUCGAGAGCCUUCUAUGUUACAGGAACUCCAACAAACGUCCAACCUCAACCACAAACUUUCAUUUUCCAGACGUGGUUGAUGGACGGUUGGCCGGGAGUUUCCUGGAGAAGGCUCUCGAAGAAGAGGUGUGCGGUGGGCGAGGCCGUGGGCGAUAGCCGAUUCUCUUCUUUUAAUAAGCCUUCGGCCUGCAGGCCUGGGAGGAAGGCUUAAGAAGAGAAUGAAUCGCCCACCAACGCCUUCGCCCCCCGGCAGGAGCCUUGUCAUCGGUUAACCCUUGAUUAAAGGCUCGCCGGGGAUAACAGGUUCUUGAAUCCCGAGAGCUCCAAUGGAAGGAUUCUGAUGGCACCUCCAUGUCGUCUCAU
rnacentral:rRNA from 1 species